rnacentral:rRNA from 1 species
AGUGAACGCUGGCGGUAGGCCUAACACAUGCAAGUCGAACGGCAGCACAGUAAGAGCUUGCUCUUACGGGUGGCGAGUGGCGGACGAGUGAGGAAUACAUCGGAAUCUACUUUUUCGUGGGGGAUAACGUAGGGAAACUUACGCUAAUACCGCAUACGACCUACGGGUGAAAGCAGGGGAUCUUCGGACCUUGCGCGAUUGAAUGAGCCGAUGUCGGAUUAGCUAGUUGGCGGGGUAAAGGCCCACCAAGGCGACGAUCCGUAGCUGGUCUGAGAGGAUGAUCAGCCACACUGGAACUGAGACACGGUCCAGACUCCUACGGGAGGCAGCAGUGGGGAAUAUUGGACAAUGGGCGCAAGCCUGAUCCAGCCAUACCGCGUGGGUGAAGAAGGCCUUCGGGUUGUAAAGCCCUUUUGUUGGGAAAGAAAAGCAGCAGGUUAAUACCCCGCUGUUCUGACGGUACCCAAAGAGUAAGCACCGGCUAACUUCGUG